AUUGAACGCUGGCGGCAGGCUUAACACAUGCAAGUCGAGCGGAGAUGAGGUGCUCGCACCUUAUCUUAGCGGCGGACGGGUGAGUAAUGCUUAGGAAUCUGCCUAUUAGUGGGGGACAACAUUCCGAAAGGAAUGCUAAUACCGCAUACGUCCUACGGGAGAAAGCAGGGGAUCUUCGGACCUUGCGCUAAUAGAUGAGCCUAAGUCGGAUUAGCUAGUUGGUGGGGUAAAGGCCUACCAAGGCGACGAUCUGUAGCGGGUCUGAGAGGAUGAUCCGCCACACUGGGACUGAGACACGGCCCAGACUCCUACGGGAGGCAGCAGUGGGGAAUAUUGGACAAUGGGGGAAACCCUGAUCCAGCCAUGCCGCGUGUGUGAAGAAGGCCUUAUGAUUGUAAAGCACUUUAAGCGAGGAGGAGGCUACUGAGACUAAUACUCUUGGAUAGUGGACGUUACUCGCAGAAUAAGCACCGGCUAACUCUGUGCCAGCCGCCGCAGUAAGAC
rnacentral:rRNA from 1 species